rnacentral:rRNA from 1 species
GUAACCGUCUUUAGUCGGGAAGAAAGGGUUCCUUGAAUACGGGAGAUUCUUGACGGUACCGGCGGAAUAAGCACCGGCUAACUACGUGC